rnacentral:rRNA from 3 species
GAGGUUAAGCGACUAAGCGUACACGGUGGAUGCCCUGGCAGUCAGAGGCGAUGAAGGACGUGCUAAUCUGCGAUAAGCGCCGGUAAGGUGAUAUGAACCGUUAUAACCGGCGAUUUCCGAAUGGGGAAACCCAGUGUGACUCGUCACACUAUCAUUAACUGAAUCCAUAGGUUAAUGAGGCGAACCGGGGGAACUGAAACAUCUAAGUACCCCGAGGAAAAGAAAUCAACCGAGAUUCCCCCAGUAGCGGCGAGCGAACGGGGAGGAGCCCAGAGCCUGAAUCAGCAUGUGUGUUAGUGGAAGCGUCUGGAAAGGCGCGCGAUACAGGGUGACA